rnacentral:lncRNA from 1 species
UUCCUAAUGUCCUACAGGGAGACUGAAAAAUCUGAGAAGGAUCAAACCUUCCCCAAAGCUGCUUGGAUUAGAAGCAGAGAUGAGAAAGUCUUUCCAUAUUAGUUCCACAAGAUAGUAGAAUAGAUCUGGAAGCUUAGCGAUCCCCUUAUGUCUGCUCUAACCCAGUUAAACCUGAGUGCAAUAACAUUGAUCUUUGGGAUUGAUUAGGAUAAUUUGGCUUGCCAGAUAAUAUUUCCCCUACCCUAGUCCUAAGCAUUUGUAAAGGACUAGCAUCAAAGACAGUGAGGAAUUAUCCCUUAAUAUCUUUCAUCUCUAAGUAUCUUUUCAGAAGCUACAGUCUGAAUGGGUGUGAACAAGCUGGGCUCUUGUGUUUGCUGAGGACAGACCUUGUGUCUUAUGAACAGUUCAUCCCAGUUCCAAGCAAACUGCCUGAACCACAGCCAGUCACUUGCUGUAUGAAGGAGUAAACUAAUGAAAGAACUGACAGCUUUGUAAACCUACGUGUGUCCAGCAAAGAGGAAGACCAGAACAGAGUGGUGCAAUGGUGGUGAAAGGGGCUGGACUGGUCUCCUUAUUCAGCAACAGUCCUGGACUACUUAGUUUUCUUGAGCAAGAUGGACCAAAUGAUAUUCAAGUUAAUUGCAGGGGGAAUACAGUAUCUCACCUCCAUAAAUGACCUACUUCCUAGUUAUUUGAACUCCUCCC